ACGCUCGACACCUACUGGAGGCAGCAGUGGGGAAUAUUGCACAAUGGAGGAAACUCUGAUGCAGCGAUGCCGCGUGAGGGAAGAAGGUUUUCGGAUUGUAAACCUCUGUCUUUGGGGACGAUAAUGACGGUACCCAAGGAGGAAGCUCCGGCUAACUACGUGCAGCAGCGCGGUAAUCUGAGGCGGGCUGGCAAGGC
rnacentral:rRNA from 1 species